GCAGAAUGGCCAGAAGAUGUAAGAACAACAAUGGCAGCAGCUUUACUUUUAUUAGCUGCAUCUACAGCAGAAAUAGCAAUUGUGUGUGAAGCAUCCAAAGGCAAAUUGACCUUAAGCAUUUGAAAAUGUACAAUUAGAAGAUGAUGGUAGCCAUAGUACGUACACACUUAACAGGGUAUGCCCCUUUGGCAGUUUCCCCUGAUAGCAUCACACUAUCUGCUCCAUCGAGGAUGGCAUUUGCCACAUCAGAAUACUCUGCUUGAGUUGCACGGGGUUUUUUGAUCAUAGACUCGAACAUUUGAGUAGCACAAAUAACUGGUUUACCAGCCUAUAUAUUUUAAAGAAUAAAAAUGGAAAUAAAGUGAGGAUUUAUUUGUGGUUUUCAUCGUACAAGUGCGUAUCACAAUAAAUUUGUGUUUAGUUAUUCAUGUUUAGCUUUAUUACUUCAAAAAUUAUAGAGAAUCAACCUAAUAAGAAAUUUUAUGGUAAGAGUAUUAUCUAUGUUCUGAUGUUCAUUAGUUAGUUAGUUUUUAAUGAUGAUUCAAUUUUUUCAACCUUUCAAUAUGUAAGAAUACCAUAAUAACAUCAAAAAUAAUAAUAUGUAAUGAUAUUUUAAAAACUAACCUCCGCCGAAAACCAAGUCGUAGUCGUACUUCGCUUUUUAUUUGUUGUUGUGCGUUUUCGCUGUGCGCCUUCACCGCCGCUGAAAAACACAACAACAAAUAAAAAGCGAAGUACGACUUGACGCGUGUGUUUUUCGGCGGAGGCUAGUUUAAAAAAAAAAAAUUACAUAAAAAAAAAAUACAAAUAAAAAAAUAAAAAAAAUAAAAUACAUUAAAAAAAAUACAUAAAUACAUGUUUAUAUA